rnacentral:lncRNA from 1 species
CUAAGGAUUGAAAAUUCAUCUUGACUCUUCUGGAAAUGUUCUGUUAACAACUAACCUGAGUAGUAUUCCAAUGGAAAAUUCUGAUUUAUCCCUUAUUCAUGCCCUAUGAGGGAUAUGGAAUCAAGACUAUUCCCAGUAUUAUCAGGAUCAGUGACUGCACACAUUGACAUAGGUUGGGAUGAUGAAUCAGAAAAAGAACCACAGAAUAGAGCGAAAUGUGUAAGGAUUAUUUUACGGCAAAGAAAACAAGAGUAUUCUGUGUUGAGAGCUAAAAAGUACAGGAGACCGCAGAAUAUGCUCCUUUUUGUGGGUGCUGCUACAUCUGGUCUCCCAACGGUCUCAGAAAGAAGGCAGCUGCACCAGUCCUAUUACUAUGAUCAGGACAAGGAGAAGCACUACCCAGGCAACUCUCAGGCGGGGUUGGUUUCUGCUCCUGGAGCCUCGCAGUUGUUUCAAGACUUAUUGCCGGUCAUCUUGCUUACCAGGUAGAAGCCAUUGACUAUGAUUUUCCUAAAAUAUUUCUAUUCUCAACCUUUAUCUGUCAGGACCGCAUACACACCACCC